rnacentral:tRNA from 2 species
AGCGGAUCAGUGAGCGCGGCGGGCGGCGUGCUCGCGGCGCGCCUCCGCCACGGUCUCCAGGAUCUCCUCCUGGGUCCGCAGC